rnacentral:rRNA from 1 species
CCUACGGGGGGCAGCAGUGAGGAAUAUUGGUCAAUGGACGAGAGUCUGAACCAGCCAAGUAGCGUGAAGGAUGACUGCCCUAUGGGUUGUAAACUUCUUUUAUAUGGGAAUAAAAUGUUCCACGUGUGGGUUUUUGUAUGUACCUUAUGAAUAAGGAUCGGCUAACUCCGUGCCAGCAGCCGCGGUAAUACGGAGGAUCCGAGCGUUAUCCGGAUUUAUUGGGUUUAAAGGGAGCGUAGGUGGAUUGUUAAGUCAGUUGUGAAAGUUUGCGGCUCAACCGUAAAAUUGCAUUUGAUACUGGCAGUCUUGAGUACAGUAGAGGUGGGCGGAAUUCGUGGUGUAGCGGUGAAAUGCUUAGAUAUCACGAAGAACACCGAUUGCGAAGGCAGCUCACUGAACUGCAACUGACACUGAGGCUCGAAAGUGUGGGUAUCAAACAGGAUUAGAUACACUAGUAGUC